GGAGGUGAGUAGACGCCUGGAGUCUCUCUUCGGUUCCUUCUGCCUAGGAGACGCCGUUGGAAGCAGAGAUCGAAGGAGGCUGUCCGGGGACCGGUCCUCCUUGCAGGUGGGAACGGAGGCGCGAAAGGCCCUGGUCCCGUCAAGAUUCUCGUGGCGUCGAGUCCGGCCUGUGCCCAACAAUGCACCCAGGCAACUGUCGCUAAUUACGCAGUCCUUCACCCUCGUUAGCAGGGCAUCGCCAACGGAACAGGCGGUGCCGUCUAAGGAGUCGCUAGGGAGCUACCUGUCAUAGCUGAUAUCCGGUGUGACACGCUGUACGAAGAUAUGAAGUUUACAAUCUUGAAAAUGAAAGGCACCGAUUGAGUUGCCCUAUGCCACGGUUCCGACUCAUCCCCCGGAAGCUGCCCAGUAUCCUGGUUGAGAGCAAUUGCGUUGUGUGUCUACACGGACAUUAAGGCUGAGAUCGAAGAGGAACCCAAGGAUUCGGCAAUAAAAGAACUCUGAACGGAUAUCUCGAAAGGUCGCAUAUGGUCGUAGGAAUUCUUCAUUUGCGGACGCUCCUAGAAUGCAUUGGGCAGUUCAUGGUCGAGACCUCCGCAAUACCGGUUCCUGUUAAAUGGCGAAAAAAACAAAGAAAAACAAAAAAUAAUUGUGUAUCCAGAGAAUAAAUACCAAGAACGUGUGUUAUUAUUAUUAUUAUUAUAAA